rnacentral:misc_RNA from 1 species
AAUUCUCAACUGCCUCAGGUCUUGUGGCUUGCAGGUGAAGUUGGACUUUGGAGGUCUGCUGGCGCAUGAAUGGGCUUCGUGUCCUGUCGUGCUUGUCGGCUCCUCUUGAAUGCAUGAGCUUUCCAAUCCUUGGCAAAGUAUCGUCGAUGUGAUAAUUAUCUGCGUCGCCCGAGAAAGCCUAACAGGGGAAAUCUUUGAUCACGCUGGGGUGACCCACGUCUGACAA